rnacentral:rRNA from 1 species
UACGUAGGGGGCAAGCGUUGUCCGGAUUCAUUGGGCGUAAAGAGCUCGUAGGCGGUGUGUCGCGUCGGCCGUGAAAACCUGCAGCUUAACUGUGGGCUUGCGGUCGAUACGGGCAUCACUGGAGUUCGGCAGGGGAGACUGGAAUUCCUGGUGUAGCGGUGAAAUGCGCAGAUAUCAGGAGGAACACCGGUGGCGAAGGCGGGUCUCUGGGCCGAUACUGACGCUGAGGAGCGAAAGCGUGGGGAGCGGACAGG